CAUCACUUACGUCCAUGCGUCGAAUUGGAAAGGAGAGAUUUCUGCAAGGCGGUCAAACGGUGAGGGAACGCGCUUUUGAGCCCAACUUCUAGUGGACAUUGUUUGGGUUGCCAAGAUGGAUGUGGGGAAUCUAAGGAUCUCUCAAUCCCAAGUGUAUCUCAACGACAUCCCCCGGGCCAUCCUGUCACAGUGGAGUCUCCCCUUGGGCACGCGGCGUGUGAUGGAGGCAGUGAGGGCUGGGCCCAAGGGCCCCCUUACCUCUGGGAAGAUUGUUGCUAUAGCAGCAGGAUUGUCUGUAGGAGCGACAGUGGGAUACAUUGUCUACCGGCAAAUCAAAAGCACUAACUUAGGUGCUUCCAUGGCCAGCACAGAAGAAUCGAGGUUGUCUGUACCACUUGAGGUGUACAGGAACAUUUCCAAGUAUCAAGACUCCUUCUUGGACCUGGUAAUCCAGAAGUCUGGUGCCCACGUGAGGGUGCUGUCAGAGGCUGUGUUGGCAGGGGAGGGGGAGCUGGGUUCCCAGAAUACAGUGUGUUUCCUGCUCCAGGGCUCUCCUCAACAGGUACUGCUGGCUAGGUGUACUCUUGAGAACCUGGCCACAGACUGUGAGACCACCUCUGACGUCAUGGAGGUGCCCCAGACCGCCUUUGGACGCAUCAUAGGUCGUGGAGGAGAGACCCUGAAGCUGAUCACCAGGACAACAGGAGCCAGAGUCAUCUGUCCCAGGGAGAGGGGGCGGGGCCUUGAGGAGAUGGGAAAAGUGUCAAUCACCGGGACAAGGCAGGAGGUCAGACAGGCCAAGGAGCUGAUCAUGGAGAAGGUACUCGAGGACCAGGCAGUGAGGAGGAAGAUUACCCAGUCUUCCGCACUGCGUCAGAAACGCAGGCUCCUAGAGCCCCUGCUUCCAAAUCCAGAGGUACGCAAAAUGGAGCUGAAGCCGCUGGAGGCUUCAUAUUCACACCAGGGGGACGGAAAGGGUCUGGUCCAGGCUAACGGCGUCCAGACCACAGGGGAAGCCCCUGGCCCGGCUGCCGAAGACCAUGUUCAACUGGCUAGGGAGGCACAAGAGGUGGAGCUGGAGGAGGAUGAUGUCAUCUCACCUGACUCCCUAUUGGAGGUUUCCAAGUUCGAAAUCCCCAGUCCAGACUUGAGCUUCCAGCCCGAUGAGCACCUUGAGGUGUAUGUGUCAGCGUCUGAGAACCCCAGCCACUUCUGGAUCCAGAUCUUGGGAGUCCGCUCCCUCCAGCUUGACAAACUCACUGCAGAGAUGAGCCGCUUCUACAGUAAUGGAACCUUGCAGGAGCAGCGAGUAGAGACCAUUGUGGUUGGGGACAUUGUGGCGGCUCCUUACCGGGACCAUGGCACCUGGAACAGGGCCAGGGUCCUGGGGGUGCUGGGCUCUGGCCUGGUGGACCUCUACUACGUCGACUUCGGAGACAAUGGAGAAUUACCCAGGGACAGUCUACGGAGCAUGAGGAGUGACUUCCUCAGCCUUCCAUUCCAGGCCAUUGAGUGCAGCUUGGCCGGAGUUAAACCAGCAGGCGAGGCUUGGAGUGAGGAAGCCCUGGACGACUUUGACCGCCUGACGUGGGUGGCUGAGUGGAGACCGCUACUGGCCAAGUUGUGCAGCUACUCCCACUCUGAAAUCUCCUCCUGGCCCAGUGUUCAGCUUUACGACAGCAAAGAUGGCAAGACUGUGGAUCUGGGAGAGGAGCUGGUUCGUCUGGGCCAUGCUGUGCCUAGCCAAUGUAAUGGGGAGGGGAGGAGCGAGCAAGACAACCCUGGAUUACUACAGAGGAUGCUGGAUGAUGUGACUGGAGCCACGUCGGAGCUAAGCCUGUCCUGCAUCAGCUUAUCAGGCCGUGGAAAUAAGGAGUGGGUGUCAGAGGAGGCCUCACAAUCACGUUCCUCCUCAGACUCUCCAAGCUGCCUGGAGCUGCAGAGGGCUGAUUUUGACGACAGCCCCACCACCGGGUUUGUCUCUGGGCUGGCCCACUCCACUCCGGCCCAGCAAACCCCAGUGGACCUGGGAUCCCCCUGUCCCUCUCAGCAGCCCCUCUCUCCUGACCACCAGAUUCUCAGCCAGUGCUGUGAAGCCUUCGUCCGCACCAGCAACCUUUACAGUGUCUCUGUGCCUCAGCUGCAGCUCACACACGAGCUCCCUGUGCCCUUCUAUACCUCUUCGUCGUAUUCAUCUACUUCCUCGUCGUCUUUGGGGCUGGUCACCCCUGCGUUGGGUUUGAUCUCGCUGAGCGAUAACGUCUUCUUUGAGGACUGCAGUUAUGACGGGGAUGAAGAAUGUGGCGGAACCUCGUCUUCUGGGGUAGUGGAGGCAACUGGGGAAAACUCAACUUGGUCGCUCCGGUCAUCGGAUCGAGGCUACAGUCUGGAGGAGGAGGAGGAGGACCACGACGACAGUGAUGAGAGCAGCAGUGAAGGGGCCAUCAGCAUCAGUUCCACUCCUACCUCCCCAACACAGGAGCACUUAUUGCUAAUGAAGGGAGUGGACCGGCAGGGGGUUGGAAAGGAUGGUGCUGGAGACCCGAGUGUGGUUCUGAUUAGUGAAACUAGUCAUUUCCGAAGCAGUACGUGUAGCAGCAUGGGGAGUGACGUGAUCUAUAUGGGCUCAGUAGAGCCUGGUUGGGAUAGUUUGACUGUAUCCUGUCAUAAGGAUGAUGGUGACUACACACAAUCACAGCCCUCCCACCUCUGUGAGAAAACAGACAUGGUGAAUACCCUGGAAAGACCAACUGGAAUGGAUGAAAAGACUGCAGAACAAAGAAACCAACUAGGCGAAUGCAAAAGGAAGGGUCCACUUGUGCAGGGGGCAUGGCCUGAACCGAGAACUGAACCCCCAGUGGGAUUCCAUUUACCAGAGGAGCUGUUUGGUGUAACAGGGUUGCCUCAGCCUAAAAAAAAGGGUUUGGAAACCAGAGUGAAGCAGUGCAGUGGAGGUCCCAACACCACUGAAGCAAAUGAGGACCCAACAUACCCUCACAUAUGAUAUUUUUAAGAAGUCUGUCUGAAGCAGAGAAGUAGCCUCAAUCUCAGGAAGUGUUGAUGAUGUUCUAGAGGACGAGUUCAUCUGAGACCAAAGAGACACAAUGCACUGGCCAUCAUUUCAC